UACGUAGGGACCAAGCGUUGUCCGGAAUCAUUGGGCGUAAAGAGCGUGUAGGCGGCUUGUUAAGUCUUGCGUGAAAUCUCGGGGCUCAACCCCGAGCGGUCGUGAGAAACUGGCAGGCUAGAGUGCGGGAGAGGAGAGUGGAAUUCCGUGGUGUAGCGGUGAAAUGCGCAGAUAAUCAGGAAGAACACCCGUGGCGAAGGCGGCUCUCUGGAACACAACUGACGCUGAGACGCGAAAGCGUGGGGAGCAAACAGG
rnacentral:rRNA from 1 species